rnacentral:lncRNA from 1 species
GUAUGCAUACAACCCAGUCACAGACCCCAACUAGUAUUUUAAGAGUGCAUUGUUUACUAAUGGAUCUAGCUAGAAGAGUUGCCUGGAUCCUGGCAGAGGCAUUUAUUCUCACUAAUGAUGUGGAAUAGAACUGCAUAAUUGUGUCCAGUUGUAUUAAGUCUACCCAAGACUGUCAUGUCUUACAAAGGAACCAGCAACAAGCACCUACAAAAGUCCUGGAAUUUUCCUGUAAAAGCUAUACCUGGGGCUGGAAUCAUCAGCAAUUAUUCAUCAAUAAGGAAGAAGGUAAUGACAUUCAUUUUGGCUGCUGUACAUUGUUUCUCUAUCCCUCUUCUGAGGGAGAGUGAUUUCUGUCUACUAAGAGUUAGAUUCCAAACUUAGAUAUGUGGGAAAUCAUUUGGUAUUUAAUAGAAUUUAACUCAUGUGCAUAGCCCUAGAAAAUGAUCAUUGAUAAGGUACUAAGGCUUGGAAAAUGAAUAACAGCAAGUCUUUAAAAUGGAAAUCCUUAGAAUACUGGAAUAGCUAUUAUUAUAUCAGUAUUAUUCAGUAUUAGAGAUGUUGAAGUAGUACUAUCAGAUUUAUUUUCUUUCUACCUCGUGUCUAGACUUUCAAGAAAUCUUCAUUCCGUUUUAUGAAAUAAGAUGCUCCUUCAAAGACUUUAGAAGUAAACCAUGAAAUGAGGACACUAAAGAAGCAUG